rnacentral:rRNA from 1 species
CCUACGGGGGGCAGCAGUGGGGAAUAUUGGACAAUGGGGGCAACCCUGAUCCAGCCAUGCCGCGUGUGUGAAGAAGGCCCUCGGGUUGUAAAGCACUUUCAGUGAGGAAGAACGCCUGGUGGUUAAUACCCAUCAGGAAAGACAUCACUCACAGAAGAAGCACCGGCUAACUCCGUGCCAGCAGCCGCGGUAAUACGGAGGGUGCGAGCGUUAAUCGGAAUUACUGAGCGUAAAGCGCGCGUAGGUGGCUUGAUAAGCCGGUUGUGAAAGCCCCGGGCUCAACCUGGGAACGGCAUCCGGAACUGUCAAGCUAGAGUGCAGGAGAGGAAGGUAGAAUUCCCGGUGUAGCGGUGAAAUGCGUAGAGAUCGGGAGGAAUACCAGUGGCGAAGGCGGCCUUCUGGACUGACACUGACACUGAGGUGCGAAAGCGUGGGUAGCAAACAGGAUUAGAUACCCCAGUAGUC